rnacentral:rRNA from 1 species
UACGAAGGGGGCUAGCGUUGCUCGGAAUUACUGGGCGUAAAGGGCGCGUAGGCGGCACUGUUAGUCAGGCGUGAAAUUCCUGGGCUCAACCUGGGGACUGCGCUUGACACGGCAGAGCUAGAGGAUGGAAGAGGCUCGCGGAAUUCCCAGUGUAGAGGUGAAAUUCGUAGAUAUUGGGAAGAACACCGGUGGCGAAGGCGGCGAGCUGGUCCAUUACUGACGCUGAGGCGCGACAGCGUGGGGAGCAAACAGG